UACGUAGGUGGCAAGCGUUAUCCGGAUUUAUUGGGCGUAAAGGGAACGCAGGCGGUCUUUUAAGUCUGAUGUGAUAGCCUUCGGCUUAACCGGAGUAGUGCAUUGGAAACUGGGAGACUUGAGUGCAGAAGAGGAGAGUGGAACUCCAUGUGUAGCGGUGAAAUGCGUAGAUAUAUGGAAGAACACCAGUGGCGAAAGCGGCUCUCUGGUCUGUAACUGACGCUGAGGUUCGAAAGCGUGAGUAGCAAACAGG
rnacentral:rRNA from 1 species